UAUGCUAAUGAGGUGAUUCAUUCUCCGCCAAUCACUGGAGGACAAGUAGUGGGGUGAUCCAAGCCCCACCAAUCCCUGAGAGAUAAUUAGCAUACAGUUGUCUAUAUAAGUCGAGUGAUUUUGCUGCUCGGAGUCCCUGUUUAAGAGAGCUGUAACACUAAGAAGAGCUGUAACACUGAGAAGAGCUGUAACAAUAAGAAGAGCUGUAACACUGAGAAGAGCUGUAACACUGAGAAGAGCUGUAACACUGAGAAGCGCUGUAACACUAAGAAGAGCUGUCACACAGUAAAGGCUUGCUCGAAGAAGAAUCCUGUGGCCGUGCGUUGUUCUUGCUGGGGGGACAUUGGACACACGAUAAGUGGUGCCGAAACCCGGGAACCAACAUCGCCGGUGCCGAGGGGACCCUUCAGUGUGCUGAAGAGGAUUCAGAACUGCGAGAAGGUAAAUUAAAAGGCAAGCUCCAAGAGGCAUGCCCCUUUUUGGAUUUAGUCUUGCCAUGGAGGGAUUGUUGCUCGUUUUUAUAGUGACUGUUGUCUUCUUACUAGUUGUGUUAAAAUGUGAGGACAUAGUCAAGGCAGGACAGAACAUUCAAGAGAGAAUGUCAGAAACGGAGCAGAGUGAGAAAUUAGGAGCACGCAAAAAGAAAAAGGUUACUAAAACAAAAGUGAAAGAGAUACAAAAGGCGGAAGAAAUGCCGCUGGAGGAAAAAAUAGGUAUGCCCGGGAGGAUGAAGUACAAGUCAUCCGGAGAGGAUACUUUGUAUCCAUUAAAAGAAUCAGAAGCCUUAGAACUGACUGGUAGUGACUCUGAGCAAGAGUUGUCAGAGUCGGAGGAGGAGGAAUUAGAGGAAGAGGCAGCCAGAUAUGACGAAGAAAGAUAUGGGCCUAGGUGGAGAGCCACUGUGAAGAAACUGAAAGUUAUUAAUGCUGCAGUGGCCUCCACUUCCCCGCCUUAUAUAGAGGGGAAGUGUGAGUACUCUUUCUGUCCACCUGAAACACAGCGAGCACUUAGGCAAAUGUUUCCUGUAUUUGAGGACGAUGGCGUUCAUUCUCAUCAGCCCCUAGAGCACAAGCAAGUUAAGGAACUGGCAGAGUCUGUUCGUGCCUAUGGGGUUACUGCUAAUUUCACCAUGUCACAGGUAGAAAGACUAGCAAGCAUUGCCAUGACUCCAGCAGACUGGCAAUCUGUGACAAAGGCCUGUCUCCUUAGCAUGGGACAGUAUAUUGAGUGGAAGGCAUUGUGGCACGAUGCUUGCCAAGCACAAGCACGCGCAAAUGCAGCAGCAGGACAACCUGCCUGGACAUUUGACAUGUUAACUGGACAAGGGCAAUGGACCAAUAAUCAAACUGCCUUCCCCUUGGAGGUAUAUGCCCAGAUUGCUAUUAGUGCUGUCAAGGCAUGGAAAGCUCUAACUAACAGAGGAGAGGUGUCCGGGAACCUGACCAAGGUCAUCCAAGGACCAAGUGAGCCUUUCUCAGAUUUUGUGGCCCGCAUGAUGGAGGCUGCUGGUAGGAUUUUUGGAGACCAAGACCAGGCUAUGCCCUUAAUAGAACAGUUAGUUUUUGAACAAUGUACCAAAGAAUGCCGCAAUGCAAUCCUCCCCUGGAAAUCUAAGGGGCUGCAGGCUUGGCUGAAAGCCUGUAGGGAAAUAGGAGGACCACUUACCAAUACCGGUCUAGCUGUGGCUAUAUUACAAUGACAAAGGCGGCCUGGCCUCUCUAGUAGAGGCAUCAUGUGUUUCCAAUGUGGAAAGCCUGGUCAUAUGAAAAGGGAGUGCAGGAAUCAGAAUCCUGGCUUUAAUCCAAAGAAAGUCCCAGGACUGUGUCCAAAGCGUAAGAAAGGGAAGCAUUGGGCCAAUGAGUGCAGGUCAGUAAAGGACAUAACGGGGAAACCCUUGGAUGUGUCAAAAAACGUCCAACGGGGCCCCCGUCCUCAGGGCCCUCAAAUAUAUGGGGCAACCACCUCCCCAGUAACCUGGGCUAAUCAAGGUUCCCCAGGAUGGCCACUCCGGGUUCCGCAGGAUUAGACCUCCGUGCCACCUCCAGAAUCGUCCUAACCCCUCAAAUGGGGGUGCAGCCUAUCCCCUCUGACUUUCAUGGCCCUUUACCACCCCAUACAGUUGGGCUGCUUUUAGGACGCUCCUCUACUACUCUUAAAGGAUUGGUGGUACAUCCUGGGGUUAUUGAUCAAGAUUAUGAGGGCCAGUUGAAGAUCAUGUGCUCCUCCCCACGAGGUCUCUUCUCCAUUUCCCCAGGUGACCGGAUUGCACAAUUGCUUGUUUUACCCAGUUGUCACGCCCAGUUUAAAUCGGGAAGUACAAAAAGAGGAAAGAAGGGUUUCGGCUCUACGGGCACUGAUUCAGCAUAUCUUAUGGUCGAUUUACACGCUCGACCUACUCUGAUCCUAACCAUUGAAGGAAAGACAUUUGAGGGAAUUCUAGAUACAGGGGCAGACAAAAGCAUUAUAUCCACUAAAUGGUGGCCUACAAAAUGGCCCAUUACUCAAUCUUCCCAUUCAUUACAAGGUUUAGGUUAUGAAGCUAGUCCAACUGUUAGCUCUAGGCCCUUAAAGUGGAAAGCCCCAGAAGGACAGGAGGGUAGUUUCGUCCCAUAUGUUCUUCCUUUACCUGUCAACUUAUGGGGAAGAGAUAUUUUGGCUGAGUUAGGGCUUAAACUUAUAAAUGAGAAUUCCCUACCAGCACAGAGAAUGGUGAAGGAUAUGGGGUAUGUCCCAGGAAAAGACAUUGGUAAGCAUCACCAAUUCAACCCACUGCAAAACCCGAUCGUCACGAUCUGGGUUUUUCUUAGGGGCCAUUGAGGGGGCUAUGCCCAUACCGUGGAUAACAUAGGAGGCUGUAUGGGUUCUUCAAUGGCCUCUCUCCUCUGAAAAGCUGGAGGCCGCUCACCAAUUAGUAAAGGAACAGUUGCAAUUAGGACAUCUGGAACCUUCAAGCUCACCCUUGAAUACUCCAAUAUUUGUUAUAAAAAAGAAGUCAGGAAAAUGGAGACUAUUGCAUGAUCUUAGAGCAAUUAAUACACAAAUGAAAUUGUAUGGAUCAGUCCAACGCGGUCUUCUGCUUCUUUCUGCCUUGCCAAAGCAAUGGGAGGUUAUUGUAAUAGAUAUUAAGGAUUGCUUUUUCUCUAUUCCUUUACAUCCUAAGGAUAAAGAGAGGUUUGCCUUUACUCUGCCUGCAAUAAAUCAUGUGGAGCCUGAUGAGCGCUAUCAAUGGAAAGUCUUGCCUCAGGGGAUGGCAAACAGCCCCAAUAUAUGUCAGUUAUAUGUACAACAGGCCCUGACUCUUGUCAGAGGGCAAUAUCCAUCACUAACGAUUCUUCAUUACAUGGAUGAUAUACUCCUUGUGGAUCCAAACCUCAAGAGCUUGAGAUAGCAUAUGCUGACUUAAUUAAGCAUUUGCAACAGUUUGGGCUAACUAUAGCUACUGAAAAGGUUCAGAGAUCGCUGAUGGGCAAGUUUUUAGGAGCCGUUGUACAUCCAGAAGUUAUUACUCCACAAAAAAUUGAAAUCAGGCGAGAUCACCUACAAACUUUAAAUGAUUUCAAAAACUUUUGGGAGAUAUUAAUUGGCUACGGCCAUUCCUGAAAAUAUCUACUGCUGAGUUAAAACCUUUGUUUGAUAUAUUGGAAGGGGAUCCGCAAUUAACAUCCCCGUGAUCCCUGUCUAUGGAGGCUGUAGAGGCCCUCCGAAAGGUGGAGAAGACUCUUUCUGAGGCUCAAUUAGUAAGGAUACAACCUGAUGAACCUUUUGAGCUAUGUGUUUUGCAAACUGCUAAAUUACCCACUGCGGUGUUAUGGCAGAAUGGCCCCUUACUUUGGAUUCACCCACAAGCCUCUCCGGCUAAAACCAUAGAGUGGUACCCCUCAACGGUGGCAAGAUUGGCUAUGAGAGGACUAAAAGUAGCUGUAACUCAUUUUGGUAAACAUCCAAUAAAAAUUGUUAUACCCUAUACUGCAGAACAGCUCCAAGUGCUGGCUGCUACAAAUGAUGACUGGGCAAUACUUGUGUGCAUCUUUUCAGGGGUGUUUGAUAAUCACUACCCCAGGCACCCCAUUUUGACCUUUGCAAAAUGUCAUCCCCUUGUGUUUCCCCGGGUUACCAGCAUGGAACCCCUUCAGGCAGGGGAUAUUGUUUAUACGGAUGGAUCGAAAACUGGUUUGGGUACUUAUGUGCAUGACGGUAAAGUGGUAACUAAGCAAUUUAUCCCUAAUUCCCCUCAAUUAGUUGAGUGUUAGAUUGUAUUGGAAGUGCUCUGAGUGUUCCCUAGUCCAUUAAAUAUUGUUUCAGAUUCCUCCUAUGUGGUUAAUUCAGUUAAAUCUUUAGAAGUUGCGGGAAUGAUUAGAACCACUAGUACAGUAGCUUCUAUGUUUCUGGAGAUCCAGCAGGAGUUACUAUCUCGGCAUUCCCCUUUUUUCAUCACCCAUAUAAGGGCUCAUUCAGGGUUGCCUGGCCCAAUGUCUCAUGGGAAUAACCUGGCCGAUUUGGCUACUAGAGCGACUACGUUUGCUGUGCUGACUCCUGUGGAAGCUGCCACCCAGUUCCAUUCCUUGUUUCAUGUUACUGCUGAGACCUUACGCAGACGUUUUCCUAUUUCUAGAACAGAGACCAGAAAAAUAGUGCUUCGCUGCGGUAAUUGCAGUGUGUUUAUUACCACCCCACAUGUGGGCAUUAAUCCCCGUGGCCUUCGACCCCUGCAGGUUUGGCAGAUGGAUGUUACCCAUGUCCCCGCCUUUGGAAAAUUAAAGUAUGUGCAUGUUUCCAUCAAUACAUGCUCCGGGGUCAUAGUUGCUUCUCCCUUGUUUGGGGAAAAGGCCUCUCAUGUCAUUGCCCACUGUCUUGAGGCUUGGAGUGCUUGGGGUCUUCCUAGGCUGCUCAAGACUGACAAUGGCCCUUCUUAUACUUCAGAAAAGUUUAAACAUUUCUGCAAUCAGAUGGGUGUUGCACACCUGACAGGACUUCCUUAUAAUCCUCAAGGCCAAGGAAUCAUUGAACGUGCCCAUCGCACAUUAAAGGCUUAUUUAAAUAAACAAAAAGGGGGAAUUGGUGAGGUGCCGCCAACCCCCAAGGUUGCCAUCUCCACUGCACUUCUUACUUUAAAUUUCUUAAAUUUAGACGCCCAUGACUAUUCGGCGGCAGAACGCCAUGGGCAGUGGCCUAUCCAACCCAAGGAUCAGGUGAAGUGGAAGGAUGUACUCACUGGAGAAUGGAAAGGCCCGGAUCCUUUUCUAAUAUGAUCCAGGGGAGUGAUUUGUGUUUUUCCGCAGAAUCAAGAAAAUCCAAUUUGGGUACCUGAGCGUUUGACUCGAAAAUUGCCUUCUGCUCUUCCUGAAGAUGAGGCGAUGAACCCUACUAUUACUACUGGGAAUGAUAAUACAGGUUAAUUCGCUCACCCUGUGGGCUAUUGCCAGAUCCUGGCCAGUACCCAUGCCAGUUCAUAGCAAUUCUACUGUUUUGAGAAUAAGACUGGCAAGCAUAAUCUCUGGCCUUGGUUUCAAUGGGUGCUGUCCAAUGAGCAAGGGGCAUAUACAUCCCUGACCCCCUUUGCUAGGUUGAUGGGAGAGAACUUCGUGCUGUAUAAUGUUUCAGCUACCAGAAAAAGGUGAUACCAGGUUGAUCAAUAUUCAAUAUAAUAACCUCUUGGUAAAUAAUACUGCCACUAGUACUUCAGUAUGUGCUAGAUCACCUUUUUUCUGAUAAGCACUAAUGUAAGCAGUGGUGCUUUGAAUUGUAAUAGCUCUGAUGUAAUCUGCUAUGUAGCUGAAUGCUGGGAUGGCACUAAUGACACCGCAGUGAUGGUUAAGAUUCCCUCCUUUGUGCCAAUCCUAGUGGAGGCAAACCCAGAUAACUUUCCUAUUCUUAAUUUGCUGAGAGCCAAAAGAGAUUUUGGAAUUACGGCAGCCAUAAUUUCAGCCAUUGUGCUGUCUGCUGCCGCAGCUACCACAGCUGAAAUCGCUAUGGCCAAUCAAAUACAGAUGGCUAAGACUGUCAAUCAGAUUGUAUAAAGAACUGCAGUGGCACUAGAGAUACAAGAAGAAUUUAAUACCCAUUUGGCAUCUGGCCUUCUAUUAGCCAAUCAAAGGAUAGAUUUAGUUCAAGAACAAAUUGAAGCACUGUAUCAUAUGACACAGCUGUCUUGUGUUUCCUCCUUUAGAGGUUUAUGCAUUAUUCCUUUGCGAGCUAACUUUUCUCAGGAUUUUCAACAGAACAAAGAAAUCUCGAAUUAUCUGAAAGGAAACUGGUCCAUGAAAGCAGAGCAACUAUCAAGACAAUUGCUGAUGCAGAUUGCUGUCCUCAACAGCACUAGGCUGGACCCCAUCACAGUUGAAGACUUUACCUCAUGGGUUACCAAUGCUUUCUCCCUUUUUAAGGAGUGGGCGGGCAUGUUUGUCCCGGGGAGCUAUUGUCCUCCUGGGAUGCGGAGUAGGUCUCUGGCUUAUUGGCCGUUUAAAAAGAGAACAUGCCAGACACAAAGUGGUUGUUUACCAGGCUAUGACUACCAUUAAAAAGGGUACUUCUCCCAACAUAUGGCUGGCCUCUUUGAAAGAUCAAGAGUUCGCCCUAGAUCAUUUUUGUCACAGUCAUGUGGAGUCAUUGUAUGCAGGGACGGGCAACUUUCCUCGAACUUGGACCAACCUAAGACACGGGGCCCGGUGGCGAUAGGGUAACUCUAUGACGGGUAAGGCCAAGUUUGGAUGAGAACGACCUAAGACAGGACAAUGACAAGAUUGACGUGACACCCAGAUCUAGACCAGUCAUUUUAUUAAACAAAAAAGGGGGAGAUGUAGAGAGCGGCGCGGUGAAACAAAGAUGGCGCCGACAUCCAGCCUUGUCUGGAUAUAAACGACUUACUGCGCAUGUGCAGGCUUGUCCCCUUGCUAGGGCUCCCUCUAGUGGUGAACAGCGGUACUGCACAUGUGCGGUUUAUGCACCAGGUGUCAGUUGACCGUUAAUAUGCUAAUGAGGUGAUUCAUUCUCUGCCAAUCACUGGAGGACAAGUAGUGGGGUGAUCCAAGCCCCACCAAUCCCUGAGAGAUAAUUAGCAUACAGUUGUCUAUAUAAGUCGAGUGAUUUUGCUGCUCGGAGUCCCUGUUCAAGAGAGCUGUAACACUAAGAAGAGCUGUAACACUUUGAAGAGCUGUAACACUAAGAAGAGCUGUAACACUGAGAAGAGCUGUAACACUAAGAAGAGCUGUAACACAGUAAAGGCUUGCUCGCAGAAUCCUGUUGCCGCGCGUCGUUCUUGCUGGCGGGACAUUGGGUGCGUGACAGAGCACUGCUGGGAUGUGAUUCCCCCCAUUCUGAAACGAUCCAGAGCCUCAGCCUCAGGUACUCUGUCAUAGCAGCACAAAAUGGGAUCAGGAUACUACCCAGUCAUAUGAAGGAAGGAAAAUAUGACACAUGGAAAAGGAGGGACCUUGAAAACAUUAUGCAAGACAGCCUCAGCCAUACGAGUGCUACUAUUGGUGAGGGCAAGACAGAGACAGUACAGGAAGGAGCCCAGAUCCUGGCCCCAAGGUCUGCUCACCCUCUGGCCACGCAGCUGUUCUUCACAGGCAUCUAGUGCAAGCUGUUGGGUCAGUGGUGGCAUAGUCUAUCUCUUCUAUCCAGUGUUGUGUUAGAGGUGACCACAUGAACUGUUGGCACACCUUUGGACUAUAAACAGGGGCCAGUUUAUUUUGUAAUUAGUCUGCACUUUAUUUCCAUUCUCCAGGAUAUCAGUGCCAAAGGGCAGCUCUUACCUAGCUUAUUCUGGAAUCAAAUGUGAGUGACCAUGGCCAAGGAGCAGUUGCCAGUUACCCUAAGCACCACCCAUGUUCAAUGUGGUAACAGUUUCGUGGGGUUUUAUAAUAGCCAAUCAAGGGAAUCUUUCUUUUAUGUGUAUGAGUGCUCUAUCUGCAUAUACACCCGUGUGCCAGAAGAGGGCCACGGAUCCCAUUACGGGUGGCUGUAAGCCACCAUGUGGUUGCUGGGAAUUGAACUCAGGAUCUCUGGAAGAGCAGUGAGUGUUCUUAACCGCUGAGCCACCUCUCCAGCCCCCAAUCAAGAGAAUCUUAAAUCAAGACUCUUCAAGGUCAGGCAGUGGUGACACACAUCUUUAAUCCCAGCACUCAGGAGGCAGAGGCAAGCAGAUCUCAGAGUUCGAGGCCAGCCUGGUCUACAGAGUGAGUUCCAGGACAGCCAGGAUUACACAGAGAAACCUUGGGUCAAAACAUUCUCCUCUGUGGUGCUCCCCACCCCCAAAAACUCCACCCCCAAAAACUCCUCAAAUACAUCAGUGGACACGUUGAGCAGACAUAUCAAAGCAAACCUGUGAUAAAUCUCAGGUUUUGGCCUCCAACAGGCUUGGAUGACAUGUUUAGUCUCUUAGUUGAUCUGUGUAUAUCCCAAAUGAUUUUCCUAAUAGUCAUAAAGAAGCUAAGUCACAUACAAGAGGUCAAUAAUAAAUGGCUAUUAAGGGGUCCCAAAAGCCCAAGAAAAUUUGUAAUUUGGGCCUGGACCUGCAACACUCCAACCUUUCUACAAUCACUGAAGUUUUAUUAGCCCAUGGUCAAGCAGGCGUGCUAUAUUUCUAGGAAUUUUGGUUCACAGUGAGAGAAGGAACUCACUUGGCUGGUGGCAUAAGGGAAGGUCAGAGCUGUGGAAGGAUCUCAACACCACCACGAACUCCAAGGAGUGUAUCUUGUAAAUAAAAGAGGCUGUGGUUCCUCAGGAACACUGGCAACUGUGGUGAGACAGGAGCUCAGUGUUUCCAAGUCCCCAGGGCUGAGCCUGUCAGAGCUCACCUGAGGACUUUGCUGGUGCAGGUCCUGGGGACAGAAGGAUGAACUGGAUGAAUCUGGCUCUCACCAGCUUUCACACCCAGUCAUCCCAAUGCCAGUGAGAGCAACAUCCUUGCUGGAGACAGGAGAAUGCUGGCACUGAGAGGGUGGCUGGGCAAAGCAAGGUGGCAGGGGCACAUCAGAAUGGGAAAAGAAACCAUGUGGUUCCUGUCCUCCAGCCUUCCUUGAAAACUGCAGGGAAACAGGCCCACUGGCAGCGGCAGUCAAGGGGGCUGCUGUUGUCUUGUCCACAGCAGGAGCCAGCACCCUCCGGUGUAGAAAGACUUAGCACCAUUUGUAUAUGGGGUAUCCACAUGGCUGUUGGCACAUGCUUGGACUAGAUAGUCACAUUUCAAAAUGGUUUUUAAACUAGCCUAGCCACCAGUAUGCAGAAAUGCCUCAGGCAGUGCCACAGGCUUUGGGGGAGUCAGGAAGUGGGUGCCAUCCUACUGGCCCUGACUUAAUGAAUUAGAGGCACAGCCUAAUUAGGUGGACUUGGAACCUGUGGGUGGUACAGAGAGGCCAUCUCUGCCUCUGCUGGUCUUGAAAGAAUCAGAGCCAGGGGAGAGGAACCUUCAAACACAGCAUGGGCCCUCUAGACCUGAGUGUCAACCCUGAACAGUAGCCAGAAGCCUUAGGACCUAAGUGACCCUCAACCUCUGGACUAACAGCUCGGACUCCUUCCAUAGCACCAAGACCAUGAACAUGAAUUCUCUUUUUAUCUGAGCCCUCUGGAUCCAGGAAAGCCCCCAUGCUGACUCCAUCCUAAAAAGCCUAUCACUGCUAUUCUGACGUCUCUGUUCCAUGGGUGGUCCUUAUAAGCAGCAGUCUAAAUAAUUGGGGUUUGCUAAUUGGGCAUGGGGAAACAGGAGUGUAAUCCCAAUGCCCAAGAGGCUGAGGCAGAAGUAUCCCAACUUCCAGGCCAACUUAAGCUAUAGGGUAAGAACUUGUUGGCAGAAAACAUGUAAGAAAAGAAAAAGAAAACAACCAGGCCUCAGAUAGAGUAGCAGAAAGGAACUUGUGGGUCUACAGUUGGGUGUUCAAAGAGGAAGUCUACCCAAGCUGGUGUCCUUGUAUCCAAGAAGAGACAGGAUACCAGGAAGGAGCUCAGAGGAGCCUCUAGCUCAAAAGCCAGCCUACCCUCUCCAGAGUUGCCUAGGUAAGGCACUCUGGGAGUUCACUAAUGAUGAUGUUGCUUGGGUGGUCUAUGCUCUGAAGAUGGGUCUGUAGGCUAUGAGAGUUAGUGUGGCAAACUGUGGCACUGAAGGCUAUUGUCUGGGAGGGCAGGCUGCACUCACAGCUCUCCCAGGGGCAUUCUACUCUGAGCCCUAAGCAUCUUAGUCCAGAAGCUGACAUCUAUCCCUGUGGACUAAGGCUACAAGCUUAUCUCCCCUUGGGACAAUGCCAACAAAUGUACUUGAACACUGAAUGUCUGCCCAGAUGGUUCUUAAAGUAACUGUUCCUCUAUGAAAUGACUUUGCCUCACAUUCCAAAGAAACCAACUGUUUGACCUGAGAAACAAAUAUUUGUACAAUUGUCUGAUUAAGCAAGCUUUAUUUAGGUUGGCCAGACAGCUGCCUCUCCUGGGGAUUCCAGAGAGCGGUCUUUCAUAGGGCUUGAGAUCCCUUUUACUGGAGAAGGGUAAGGGUUGAUGGAAAAUAGCUGUUAAGAGAAUUGGCUGUUAGCAUCUGGACAGAAGUGAGGGGGACUCAGGAUUCAAGGCUGCCUGUGGGUUAGAUAAGUGCAAAAGUAUAUCUGGUGGAAGGGGCGACAUCACAGCGUUUGGGAGUUUAACAAGGCUACGGGGUGAGGGGUAUUGGGGGGGUGGAUAUUCUUCACAGGGUUACAAGUUCAACAUCGGUUAAAAUACUCUGCAGAAUUCAUUAGGUUAAGGAAACAAACUUACCUUGUAAGGCACAGAAACUUAGUAACAAUGUAUAACAAUAUUGCUCCUUUAAUAACAAUGUAGCUCUUUUGGUUUCGUACAACCCUCUACCCUAACCUGCCUGUACCUUUACUCUCCCACUAAGGCUAAUGGACCACACAGGCCCUUUUAUGGGGUAUGUGGUGAAGCCAACAUCCUUCUCCUUGGGUGUUCCUUGGAUGCAACAUGGGAUGCUCCUCCCAUGAACAUCCCCCACCCCAUCCCUGACCUCAGUUCAUUUGGGUGUUUUCAAUGGAUCCUUGUUCUCUGCCUGAGUCACUGUACCAAAAGACAACCACAACCCCUUUCUCAACCUGGCUGGGCCCUGGGAGAGAAAAGAAGGUGCCAGGAGGCACCUUCCCAGAUUUCUUAAGCUGCACCCCCUGGGGCCUGGCAGGAGGGACAGCUGAGUUUCACAGCACCUAGAACUAGCACCAGCCCCCUUCUCCACUCAGCUUUAGCCUGAGCUUGGUUUCUUAAAACCACCUAAGGAUGUGCUUGGCUGGGAUGAGCAGUGUUUCUAGCCCAGCCCUGAGGGGGUGGGAUCAAGUACUGAGGACCCUGAGGGCAGUUUGUUUUAUCAACAACACAAACUGGUCAGGUGGGCCCCUCAGGUCCUCACAGUGCAGGUGACCAAAUGCCCCUGGGUGGCUCAGUCAGGUCUGUGAAGAGGAAGCUCAGUGGUGACCUUCCAGUUCACUGCUUCCAUUCAAAGUGUCCAGAUCUUAUCGCCCUAGAGCUUUAAAUUGGAAAUUAAUAGUAAAAAAACGCAGCUCCAGUUUCUCAGAUUCAACACAUUUCCCUUGAGAACAUUUGUAAAGUAGUUUGAAGGGAUGAAGGAGAAAAAUCUGGCUUCUAUCUGGAAGCCUGAGAGCCAUGCUUAUUGGGAAAUAUAAAGGUUAAUAUUCAGUUAAGGGGUUCAUUUUUUAUUUUGAAAUAACCUUAGAUUUAUUAUUUUUUUAAAAAUAGUUGCAAAAAAC